rnacentral:rRNA from 1 species
GAUGAACGCUGGCGGCGUGCCUAAUACAUGCAAGUCGAGCGAACAGACGAGGAGCUUGCUCCGCUGACGUUAGCGGCGGACGGGUGAGUAACACGUGGAUAACCUACCUAUAAGACUGGGAUAACUUCGGGAAACCGGAGCUAAUACCGGAGAAUAUAUUGAACCGCAUGGUUCAAUAGUGAAAGACGGUUUUGCUGUCACUUAUAGCUGGAUCCGCGCCGCAUUAGCUGGUUGGUAGGGUAACGGCUUACCAAGGGGACGAUGCGUAGCCGACCUGAGAGGGGGAUCGGCCACACUGGAGCUGAGACACGGACCAGACUCCUACGAGAGGCAGCAGUAGGGAAUCGUCCGCAAUGGGCGAAAGCCUGACGGAGCAGCGCCGCGUGAGUGAUGAAGGUCUUCGGAUCGUAAAACUCUGUUAUUAGGGAAGAACAAAUUUGUAAGUAAAUAUGCACGUAUUGACGGUACCUAGUCAGAAAGCCACGGCUAACUACGUG